GAGUGAACUGAGGCACUGGUCACCUUGUCAAGGAAUCCGUGCAAUGCACAAACGGGUUCGUGAUGUCAGAGGAAUCCAGCCUUGCUACAGGAAUGAUGUGGCUCUAAUAAUGAGAGAACUUGAUGGUAGUGGUCUUCUUAAUAGAUGUCCUGGGAAAAAAAGAAUUGAACGUAGGAACUACUUCAGCCGUGGACCAAAUUACACUUGGCAUAUUGAUGAUGCAAGUGGCAUUUCACUUCCGGGAGUCUAGUGAUCAAGGAAGAGAUUCCUUCAGAGUGGGGACAUCGGUACAUAAUCAGGCCAUGAUGCAGUCUGGCAUGCUCGAUUUGGACAAUCCUGUAAACAUGUAAGUUAAAAUUUGUUGUCA